UACGUAGGGGGCUAGCGUUGUCCGGAAUCAUUGGGCGUAAAGAGCGUGUAGGCGGUCCGGUAAGUCCGUUGUGAAAGUCAGGGGCUCAACCCUUGAAUGCCGGCGGAUACUGUCGGGCUAGAGUCCGGAAGAGGCAAGUGGAAUUCCCGGUGUAGCGGUGAAAUGCGCAGAUAUCGGGAGGAACACCUAUGGCGAAGGCAGCUUGCUGGGACGGUACUGACACUGAGACGCGAAAGCGUGGGGAGCGAACAGG
rnacentral:rRNA from 1 species